GACGAACGCUGGCGGCGUGCUUAACACAUGCAAGUCGAACGGAAAGGCCCUGCUUUUGUGGGGUGCUCGAGUGGCGAACGGGUGAGUAACACGUGAGUAACCUGCCCUUGACUUUGGGAUAACUUCAGGAAACUGGGGCUAAUACCGGAUAGGAGCUCCUGCUGCAUGGUGGGGGUUGGAAAGUUUCGGCGGUUGGGGAUGGACUCGCGGCUUAUCAGCUUGUUGGGGGGGUAGUGGCUUACCAAGGGUUUGACGGGUAGCCGGCCUGAGGGGGUGACCGGCCACGUUGCGAGUAAGAUCCGCCCCAUCCUCCUCCGGGCGGCAGCAGGGGGGAUUGUUCCACAAGGGCCGGAAGCCUGAAGCCGCCCCCCCGCGGGGGUGAUGGCCGCCUUCGGGUUGUCACCCGCUUUCCCCUUGGACGCAGCGUGAGUCGCGGUAAUGGGAAAAGAAGCCCCGGCGAACCACG
rnacentral:rRNA from 1 species